rnacentral:sRNA from 1 species
AAUGUAUGUACAAUGUUGCUGUCAGUUAAUACUGUAUACAGGGUUAUUUUUGCCCUAUGUAACUUUAGCCUUUCCUACACUUGCAAGAAGAUUUGAUCCUACAUGAAUUCACCCAAAACAUCUCUGUUUAAAGAGAGAUAAUUUGAGACAUUGAUAUUCGCCCAGUCUUACAUUUGCCAGCUGACAACGAGGGAGAAAUUAUUUCCCUGUAUACAGUAAUUUGUCAUCUAGAUUAUUUAUCAAAAUUAUGAUUGUAUUUUAAACAUGUUACCUUGGUUAUUGCUAAUAAAUAUUAAAAUGUU